rnacentral:rRNA from 1 species
UACGGAGGGGGCUAGCGUUGUUCGGAAUUACUGGGCGUAAAGCGCGCGUAGGCGGCUUUGUAAGUUAGAGGUGAAAGCCCAGGGCUCAACCCUGGAAUUGCCUUUAAGACUGCAUCGCUAGAAUUGUGGAGAGGUAAGUGGAAUUCCGAGUGUAGAGGUGAAAUUCGUAGAUAUUCGGAAGAACACCAGUGGCGAAGGCGACUUACUGGACACAUAUUGACGCUGAGGAGCGAAAGCGUGGGGAGCGAACAGG